rnacentral:rRNA from 1 species
AGAAGCGAACCUGCGAAGGCAAGCGGAUCUCUUAAAGCCGUUCUCAGUUCGGACUGUAGGCUGCAACUCGCCUACACGAAGCUGGAAUCGCUAGUAAUCGCGGAUCAGCACGCCGCGGUGAAUACGUUCCCGGGCCUUGUACACACCGCCCGUCACACCAUGAGAGUCUGUAACACCCAAAGCCGGUGGGAUAACCUUUAUAGGAGUCAGCCGUCUAAGGUAGGACAGAUGAUUAGGGUGAAGUCGUAACAAGGUAAC